GGUCCAUCAGCUAGUUGGUGAGGUAAAGGCUCACCAAGGCGAUGACGGAUAGGGGAUCUGAGAGGGUGGCCCCCCACACUGGGACUGAGACACGGCCCAGACUCCUACGGGAGGCAGCAGUAAGGGAUACUGCACAAUGGGCGGAAGCCUGAUGCAGCGACGCCGCGUGGGCGAAGAAGGUUUUCGGAUCGUAAAGCCCUUUUCUAGGUGACGAGGAAGGACGGUAGCCUAGGAAUAAGUGUCGGCUAACUACGUGCCAGCAGCCGCGGUAAAACGUAGGACGCGAACGUUAUCCGGAGUUACUGGGCGUAAAGCGCGCGCAGGCGGUGUCAUAAGUUACCCAUGAAAGGCACUGGCUAAACUGGUGUAAGUUGGGUGAAACUGUGGCACUAGAGAGGAAUAGAGGGAAGCGGAAUUCCGGGUGUAGUGGUGAAAUGCGUAGAUAUCCGGAGGAAUACCGGUGGCGAAGGCGGCUUCCUGGAUUUCAACUGACGCUGAGGCGCGAAAGCGUGGGUAGCGAACGGGAUUAGAAACCCCGGUAGUCCACGCCGUAAACGAUGCACAUUAGAUGUUCGGUCAUGUUAAGUGAUUGAGUGUUACAGCAAACGCGAUAAAUGCGCCGCCUGGGGAGUACGGUCGCAAGGCUAAAACUCAAAGGAAUUGACGGGGGCCCGCACAAGCAGCGGAGCGUGUGGUUUAAUUCGAGGCUACGCGAAGAACCUUACCUGGGUUUGACAUGGUGGUAGUACGGAAGCGAAAGCGGAAGGACCUUCGGGAGCCAUCACAGGUGCUGCAUGGUUGUCGUCAGCUCGUGCCGUGAGGUGUUCGGUUAAGUCCGCAAACGAGCGCAACCCUCGGUGCUAGUUACAAGUGUCUAGCAUGACUGCCCAUGACAAAUGGGAGGAAGGUGGGGAUGAUGUCAAAUCAGCAUGGCCUUUAUAUCCAGGGCGACACACACGCUACAAUGGUCGGUACAAUGGGUGGCGAAGCCGCGAGGUGGAGCGAAUCCUAAAAAGUCGGUCUCAGUUCGGAUUGCAGGCUGCAACUCGCCUGCAUGAAGUCGGAGUUGCUAGUAACCGCAAAUCAGCA
rnacentral:rRNA from 1 species